rnacentral:misc_RNA from 1 species
GGAAGUAAAAGUCGUAACAAGGUUACGUAGGUGACCUGCGGAAGGAUCAUUAAUAAAUGGUCUACGUUUUUUAAGUAGACGCUUAAUAAUCCUACCCUUUGUGAAUUUGUUUUUUGAAAUAAUUUUUUUUAAAUUAUUGAUUGUCUUCCCUGUUGAAUUGGUUGUCUUAAUGGCAAAUGAUUCGCAGGGAGUGUCAGUAAUUUUAAAAGACCUUUUUAAAAUUAAACUUUUUUGUUUCAUUUGUCUAAAAUAUUUUUAUAAUAUAAAAACAACUUUGACAAUGGAUCUCUUGUUCUCGCAACGAUGAAGAACGCAGCAAAAUGCGAUAAGUAGUGUGAAUUGCAGAAUACGUGAAUCAUCGAAUCUCGAACGCAUAUUGCACUUUUUUAGUUUACUAAAAAGUAUGUCUGUUUGAGUAUCAUAAAAUAUUCUCAUAAAAACUUUUGUUUUUAUGGUUAUGAGUGUUUACAACGAUACAAGUUGUUUCACUUUAAAUUUUUUUUAAAAUUGAAUUUUUCUAAUUUUAAAAUAAAAUGGAUAAAAUUUCCCGUAAAAAGGAAUAACCUAAACAAUUUUAAUUUUUGAUUAGAAUCCUUCAUUAUAAAGGAAAAUUUAACUAAUAACUUGAUCUCAAAUCAGAUAAGAGUACCGCUGAACUUAAGCAUAUCAAUAAGCGGAGGAAAAGAACUAACAAGGAUUCCCUUAGUAACGGCGAGUGAGCGGGAAGAGCUCAAAUUUGAAAUCUUCAAGGUUUUACCUUGACGAAUGUAGUUUAAAGAAGUGUUUUCUGUUGAAGUUUGGUAAAGUUCUUUGGAAUAGACAUCAUAGAGGGUGAGGAUCCGUAUUUGACCAUUAUUUUCAGCUGUGUGAUACACUUUCAAGAGUCGGAUUGUUGGGAAGCAGUCCAAAUGGUGGUAAAUUCAUCUAAGCUAAAUAUUGGCGAGAGACCGAUAGCGAACAAGUACCGUGAGGGAAAGAUGAAAGAACUUGAAAAGAGAGUUAACAGUACGUGAAUUGUCAAAAGGAAGCGUUUGACACCAGUGUUGUUUUCUCGAAAAUCAAUUAAAAAAAGUGGAUUUGUGUUGUAUUGACCUUAACAGCUUGCUUCACUCUUUUCUUGCUUUUUUUAAUGCACUUUUCGUUUAACAAGUCAACAUCAGUUCUUUUGUUGUAAAAGGGUCAUUGGAAGGUGGCUUUCUCUUCGGAGAAAGUGUUUAUAGCCUUUGAUCUCUGCAAUCGGAGAGACUGAGGUCUGCAGCGUAGAUCCUUCGGGUUAGAUACAUUUGUGCUAAGCUACAGCUUUCAUAGAAACUUGUGACUAUGUUUAGUCUUGUAACUUACCCGCUUAUGCUAUUUUACCUACGCUUAGAGUUGAG